GAGACACCCUUAUGGGGCAGGAAGUGCUUCAGUGGGGCUUUGGUGCUCAAUGAAUCUGCCCCCUGAGUAUGUCUCU
rnacentral:pre_miRNA from 1 species